UACAGAGGUCUCAAGCGUUGUUCGGAUUCAUUGGGCGUAAAGGGUGCGUAGGCGGCGCGGUAAGUCGGGUGUGAAAUCUCGGGGCUUAACUCCGAAACUGCAUUCGAUACUGCCGUGCUUUGAGGACUGGAGAGGAGACUGGAAUUUACGGUGUAGCAGUGAAAUGCGUAGAGAUCAUGAGGAAGACCAGUGGCGAAGGCGGGUCUCUGGACAGUUCCUGACACUGAGACACGAAGGCCAGGGGGAGCAAACGGG
rnacentral:rRNA from 1 species